rnacentral:rRNA from 1 species
AACGAACGCUGGCGGCAUGCCUAACACAUGCAAGUCGAACGAGACCUUCGGGUCUAGUGGCGCACGGGUGCGUAACGCGUGGGAACCUGCCCUUAGGUUCGGAAUAACUCCCCGAAAGGGGUGCUAAUACCGGAUAAUGUCUUCGGACCACAGAUUUGUCGCCUUUGGAUGCGCCCGCGUUGGUUUAGCUAGUUGGUAGGGUAAAAGCCUACCACGGCGACGAUCCAUAGCUGGUCUGAGAGGAUGAUCAGCCACACUGGGACUGAGACACGGCGCAGACUCCUACGGGAAGCAGCAGUGGGGAAUAUUGGACAAUGGGCGAAAGCCUGAUCCAGCAAUGCCGCGUGAGUGAUGAAGGCCUUAGGGUUGUAAAGCACUUUUACCCGGGAUGAUAAUGACAGUACCGGGAGAAUAAGCUCCGGCUAACUCCGUG